UAGUAUUCAAAGUUCAAUGCGGCUAAAUUGAAUAACUGGAAUGGACACGGACACUCGACAAUAUCGAAGAAAUCUAGAACCACAUAAUGUUGUGCAAAAAUGAUUGCAAAACAGUGGCUUGCAAGUGGUGCCCCUAUGUCCAAAAGUCCUCCAAUUUGGGAAAUCACUGGAAGAGGUGCAUAGGGGGGAAAAAAUUGUAUAUCCCCAUUGGGGAACAAUUGAAGCAGCGGAAAAUGUGGUCCGAAAUGAAGGACACGUCGGGAUCGAAAUCGCAAGUGGAAAGUGUGGCCUCCACCCAAGAUUUUGGAUUUUCGGAAACGAUGCAGUUCGUCUUCAAUUCCAUUGAUGAAGACUUUUGAAAAAAUAUUGCCCACGGAGAAGUUACUUCCUUUCGUGUUUUAUUUUACCUCUCGCUGAAAACCCGAUCCAGCUUUCACAUAAUCCUGCCCAGCUUCGACAUUAAUCUUGUCCAGCUUUCACAUUGUCCAGCUUCGACAUUAAUCUUGUCCAAGCUUCGACAUAAUCUUGUCCAGCUUACAACAACUAUUUUACAGAAUUUCCCUGGUUAUUAUUAUCUGCAUAUACAUACAUAUA
rnacentral:sRNA from 1 species